rnacentral:lncRNA from 1 species
UUUGCAACCACAAAAGCCGCAAGGUCCAAGCCCCCUCCUGCUCCUCACGCCGAAGUCAGCAAGAAUGCCGACGGCGCGCCUCUGCCGGUAAAAAACUUCUCCUUUUCCCUCGUUCUUUCGUUUAUUUGUUUUUAAAAACAAGGAAGAAAAUAAAAAAGGUACAAAACAGUAAAGAGAAAGGAAAAACGGAACCAAUCUCAAUACCUUCAAAACUUUUUUUUAUUCUCUGUUUUUGCUUUCUUCAAUCUUUUGAUACAAAGAAUUUUUUCUCUCAUUUCGUCUGUAUCGUUUUUUACACUGAAAAAAUCCCCCACUUUACAGAUUAAAAUCGGCCUUAUAUAGCUAAUUAAUACCAAAAAUCCAAAAAGAAAAAAUCAAAAACCCACUUAUUUUUCGUUAUUUGUUGCGCUUGUGUGCCUCUAUUUUUGCAGGUUUGGUGGUGAAGAGGGCGCAUAUACGUGGAGGCACAAAUCGCACGGAAGGGACCCUGGCUCCGAGUCGAGCGGUGACGGGGGUUGUUGGGAGCAGAAGCGCGCAAAAAGAGGGUGACAGUUGCGGCGGCUACUAGGGUUUUUGACUUUUGAUUUGGGUAAAAAUUUGUUAAAUUUUGGGCUUGUUGGGCUGUUGGUGUUUUGGGCUUGUAAUUAGGGUUAAUAUUUGGGCUAUUGGAUUGGGACUUUGGUUUGUACGGGCCCGGGUAAAUUGGGCUUAUUAUAGCUGCCCCUCUUUGCUUGUUGUCGUGUAACGGGAACAGAGCAAAGACUGAAAAGCCCAAUUGUGCCCGGUCUUACUAAGCUUCAACUUCCUCAAUGCUUCAUUUCUUCAGGUAGCAUCAUUCCUUCCUACUGCAUCUUCAGAGGUAUAGGAACCCGUGCUUCGAUCCACUCCACUGCAACAUCAGGGAGAUAGGAUUCGUACGUUGUAACUUUUCAAAAGAACAAAAUUUGCUAUCUUUAAUCUGCUCCACUGCAACUUUAGGGAGAUAAGACUUAUAGCUUCAAUUUGUUCUGCUACAACUUGAAAAAUAAAUCGGAUGCGAUCUGCUCUACUGUAACUUCAGAGAGAUGAGAUCUGCGGUUUUAAUCCACUCCAUUGCAGCUUCAAGGAGAUAGGAAUACUGGCUUCAACGUACUCCACUGUAACCUCAGGGAGGUAAAAUCCACCAUCUUUGAUCUGCUCCACUACUGCUUAGGGAGAUAAGAUCUGUAAUCUUUAAUCUAUUCCACUGUUGCCCAGGGAGAUAGAAUUACUGGCUUCAAUGUACUCCACUGCAACCUCAGGGAGGUAAAAUCCACCAUCUUUGAUCUGCUCCACUACUGUUUAGGGAGAUAAGAUCUGUAAUCUUUAAUCUAUUCCACUGUUGCCCAGGGAGAUAGAAUUACUGGCUUCAAUGUCUCCACUGCAACCUCAGGGAGAUAAAAUCAGCCAUCUUCGAUCUGCUUCGCUGUUUAUGUAGGAAGGCAAGAUCUUCUAUAUUUGAUCUACUUGACGCCAGUACAUGAAGACAAGAUCUAUUUUCUUCGAUCUACUUCGCCACCAGUACGGGAAGAUAAGAUCUGGUAUCUUUGAUCUACUUCACGCCAGUAUAUGAAGACAAGAUCUGCUUUUUCAAUCGAUUCCACUGCCGACCGGGGAGGUAGAAUUACUGGCUUCAACAUACUCCACUGCAACUUCAGGGAGGUAAAAUCCGCCAUCUUCGAUCUGCUCCACUACUGCUUAGGGAGGCAAAAUCUGUAAUUUUCAAUCUACUUUGCCGCCGGUAUGGGAAGAUGUAUAUUCGAUCCACUUCGCUACCAAUAUAGGAAGACAGGACCUACUAUCUUUGAUCUACUUCACGCCAGUACAUGAAGACACGAUCUGUUUUCUUCGACCUACUCCAUCACCAGUAUGGGGGGACAAGAUCUGUUUCUUUGAUCUACUUCACGCCAAUACAUGAAGACAAGAUCUACUUUCAUUGAUCUACUCCACCACCAGUAUGGGGAGACAAGGUCUGUUGACUUUGAUCUACUUCACGCCGAUACAUGAAGGCAAGAUCUGCUUUCUUUGAUCUACUCCACCACCAGUAUGGGGAGACAAGAUCUGUUGACUUUGAUCUACUUCACGCUGAUACAUGAAGACAAUAUCUACUUUCUUUCGAUCUGCUUCGCCACUAGUAUGGGAAGGCGAGAUCUGUAUAUUCGAUCUAUUUCACGCUAGUACAUGAAGACAAGAUCUGUAUUCCUUCGAUCUGCUUCGCCACCAGUAUGGGAAGGCGAGAUCUGUUAUCUUUGAUCUACUUCACGCCAGUACAUGAAGACAAGAUCUGCUUUUUCCUUCGAUCUGCUUCGCCACCAGUAUGGGAAGGCGAGAUUUGUAUAUUCGAUCCACUUCGCUACCAAUAUAGGAAGACAAGACCUGCUGCUUCUCAAAACCUGCUCAACUGUUGUUCAGGGAGAUAAGGCUUUAUGAUUUCACCAAUCUGUUCUCUGGGGAACAUGACCUGUAUAAUUCACUUUAUGAACCUAACUAUGCCUAAUGAUUAAGAUGUCAUGAUCAAAUGAAUCAAAUGCUCCUAACUAGGCGUGUAUGAAUGACAUUUGAAUGAAUGCAGAAUGUCAUUUUUUCGAGAAUGAUCCCUCAUUUUCACUUAGGUUAUCAUUACUCAAAGUUUAUUUAAAGUUUCAUCGCUAAUGUGCUAGAGCACCCUCUUGCUCAGCUGGCGUCUCGAAAGAAACACUUGACCAGAUUGCCCCUCACUGUAAACCUCCAAGUUUGAUCCAUUGGGAUGCAAAAUUUAUACCAUCUUUCUCCCGUUGUCACCCAAGAGUAAAAAGAUUUGGUCUUUUCUCAAUCCUCUACUAUCACAAUUCAAGGAUACAGGAUAUGAAACUCUUUGGUCCCUUACACCAUUCCCAGGGUGUCAUACUAAAUUCUCAUGCACAAAUGAAGAAUGUUCCUCUCCAAGAACAACUUCUUCUUAUUAUUCGGUGAUCAUUGCCUGCUUGUUCAUUGAAGCCUUGUCACCAACAUGACACAUUGCCAUUUUGUCCAAUCGAUGUUUUAGGCAACAAAAUUUAAAGGGAUAGUCUGAAUUUAGACUUUUCCUUAUUAGAUUUCCAACCUGGUGCGUUCUAAACAAUAGUCCUGUUUCAGGUUCCUGUAUUAUUUAGAAACUUCUAGAGUAAUAUGCAAAACUUCCCUUGUGAAAGUUUUAUUAGUCUGUUAACCAUUAUUCUAAUGCAACAUGCUUGCAAAAAGAUCAUGGAUAAGAAUAGAGUUGGCUCUGAGCAUAGCUCGAAAUGAAUAAAUUAUCAAGGAUAAUAAAGAUGGAUAACAAGGAAAUUGAUUUAGGAAUGCAUAUCUUGGAAAUAAAUGAAGUGUUCCAAGAAUAACAAAAAUAGUAUAAGGAUUAGGUGCCCUAGAUAUCGCAGCCUGAACUUCUCUGUACAGACUUUCUGAAGACCAUUCUGACUUUAACAUGUGUUUAGGAGAUCUACAGUACUUUGUCGAUGCCCCCAAAAUGUCGCCUACCCUUUCCUGUUGAUUCAGGUAUAGCAAAACCACUGCAUGCCCCGCUCUGAUCAGUAUAUGAGCUGCUCUGAUUACUUUAUGCCCCAUUCUGAUCAAUAUUUGAGCCGCCCUUUUCGGGUUUUCAACUUAAAUCCCCUUUGGUCUAAAGCGCCCUUUGCAAGUUUUCACCUUAGCCUCUCCAUUUUUUUUACUCAAGGCUCCCUUUGUAGGGUUUCACCCUGGUCUCUUUUUUUUUUACUCAAAGCGCCCUUUGUAGGCUUUCACCUUGGUCCCACCUUUUUUAAGCAGAGUAUUUCCUGACUGAAUCUAAGUUUACAGGACUUUGUAAAUUUUUACCAUCCAUCUCACUCAAGAUCAAAGCUUCUCCAGAAAAGGCUUUCUUUAUAACAUAUGAACCCUUCUAAUUUGGCCUCUAUCUUCCUCUAAAAUCCUUUUGUAUAGGAAGGAUCUUUUUCAACACUAGUUCCCUCUUGUGAAAUUCUUUGGGACGAACCUUCGGGUCUUCCUCUUAGGAUAAAAUGUAGAGAAAUGACAAUUCGACUUCAAUGAGUAAAGCUAUGAUAAGCCAAAGAGGAGGAUAUUGCCCCAGCAAAGAAAGUUUACUGCAUCGUUCAUAGCAUCGAUGUUGAACCUACUGCCCAUUUCUAACAUCAUGUUGUUAUUCAGAUUACAAGCUAGUGCUUAACCCGAGCAUAUCUGGGUAUGACCAUGUGAAGACAUCAUUGAAUUCUUGGGGUAGCUCUAUAAGGUCCCGCCUCAUCUUUGUGAUCAUGUCAAUUCACCAAGCUCACAAUUUCUGAUAAUUCAUCGCGAUGUAGGAUCUGUCUAUCCUCUUAUUCUAUCACCCUCCUCAAGUCUGGAGAUAAGCUACAAUCUAUGUCAUCUUCAAAGUCAUGAGAUCCCUCUAAACACAUGUCUCACUCAAAAGGAAUUUUUGAGUCUGUAGCAGCGUCACUCAUGACAUUGAUAUCUGGGGACCCAUAGUAGGUAUCCGAGAAUAUACAAAAGAAUGUAUGAAUAAUAUGAAUGAAUGGUUUGGCAGAGAAAAAAAAUCCAAAAAAAAAUGAAAAAACGUAAAGAAUGAAAGAACAUUUGCUCAAAGAUUAUUGCAAUAAUGUAUUUCAUUAAAAUAAUAAUGUUCAGACGUGAGCCUAUUUCAUAAAGAAAACCUUAUUGCUUCUAGGCUGAAAGCAACAAGUGUGUUCUGAACAUUACUCUAACAGACUUUAAAUACUUCAGGGGUUUCCUCCGCAGUCUCAUUAUUUAGAACACCUCUAAGGCAAAUAUCUAACAAGGACCCUUUAAAUUGUGUCUGCAUAUAUGGCAUCGAUGUGCAAAUUUCUCACCACUUUUUCAUACAUUGCAGUCCCUCUAUCCUCAAUCAUGAUUGGGUAGCAGAUUUCCUGCGCUAGACGAGUCACCAAACUUGAUAAUACCCAUGUUGAUAAGUCUUUCAACUUGCUUCUUGAAGGCGGUGCAAUUCUCAAUCGAGUGUCCCGUAAUUCUCGCGUGGUAGUCACAUUGUGUGUUCGCAUCAUACCAUUCGGGAUACGGAGGUUGUAGAGGCUUCACAUGAAAAGGGGAAACAACAUGUGCAUCAAACAAAUUUUGAUACAGUUCCUUAUACGGUACUGGGAUUGGUGUAAACUAGAACUUUUCAGUCUUUAUGCCGGAAUCUUACCUCGAAGAAUUUUGUUGAUUACCAACCACCUUUCUUGGCUGAACAGUAACUGAUUUAGAGUAACCCGUGUUGUUCACCUCAUUUUCUCUUCUUUUUGAGACUGACCUCUUGUUACUCUCCUAUAUAUUAAUUUUCCCACUUCUUAUCACAUUUUCGAUCAUUUCACCAUUCAUAAUUAUGUCAGAAAAGCUUUUUGUAGCAUUUCCUAACAUAUGCGUAAUGAAUGGGGCUUUCAGUGUGUUAAUAAAUAGCAUGGUCAUUUCUUUCUCCAAGAGCGGUGGCUGGACUUGGAUUGCGACUUCCCUCCAUCUUUGUGCAUAUUGCCUGAAGCUUUCACUCGGCUUCUUCUUCAUAUUUUGAAGGGUGAUUCUAUUAGGAGCCAUGUCUGUCACAUGACUAUAUUGUUUCAUGAAUGCUUGCGCCAAGUCUCUCCAUGAACCAAUCGUGGCACGACUCAACUGAUUGUACCACUUGGAUGCUGCCCCUGCAAGGCUGUCUUGGAAGCAAUGUAUUAAUAGCUGGUCAUUAUUAACGUAUCCAGCCAUUCGCCUGCAGAACAUGGUGAUAUGAGUCUCUGGGCAAGUCGUCCCAUUGUACUUCUCGAAUUCAGGCAUCUUAAAUUUAUGAGGAAGUACAAGGUCUGGCACUAAACUCAGCUCUUUUGCGUCAAUGCCUCGAUAACUUUCAGUGACUUCCAUCGCCUUGAACUUCUCCUCGAGCCACUUACAUCUCUCUUCUAACUGUCUCGGCAACUCCUCCUUCACUCUUUCCUUCUCAACCACUUCAUCAAAGUCAGGAACGGUAGAGUUAAUAGGAUUAUUUUCGGGAUUAAAACCUGGCCCAGUUUGAAGGUUCGAAAUACCAGCUCGAAAUUGCUGAGGCAUGAUGGUGACAGUAGAUUUACACGGGUGUUCAGCUUGUGCUCGCUCAUGUGGAGGGGUGAAACCUGGAGGAUAGAAAAGUUCAUUAUCAUUUCCCUCAUCGACAUCUGCCAUGGGGCCCUUUCCUUUGUCACCUCCCUUAGUUAUCAGUUGGGUUAACUUUGCCACUAUAUCUUCUUGGGAUUCUCGCAUCUUCUCAGACAUCUCUUGUUUCAUCUUGUCUAACCGCUCCUGCAUUUGUAGCUGAAGCCGGUCUUGCAUAUCAUUUUGGUACUAUUCGAGCUUCUCUAAUCUCUAAUCCAUAUCUUUUAUCUUUGCUCAAGUGCCAUAUCGGUGUUGGUUUUCCGAUUUAACUGAAAUAAUUUUACUCAAUUAGGCUCUUUCAAUAGAUUUUAAUGCAUAUGAUACUAUGUAAUGCAAAUGCAUGGGAUGAAUGCAAAAAGAGACGUUGAUUCUGAUUCAAUUCCAUUUAGAAAACUUUUCUAGAAGAUAAAUUUCUUUACAUAAAGCAGAGAUAUAUAUACGGCUUUGCCCUCAUACUCCAAGCGAGGACAUCUUCUCCUUCUUCAUCUGGAUGCUAAGAUAAAUCUUGCAAAUUCUUCAAAAGGGGUUAUCUCCUCUACCUCUUUUUUACUUGAUCCUGGUUAUAAUCCAACGUCUGCCCAUCCCCGUAAUGCUCCUCAACUUCUUUAAGAUAGUUGGAAUGUCAGAAACUCUUGAAUAAUUGGCUUGACCUUGAGGCACGAAGUAAAGUUAUGUGUUCCUCCAUCACCCUUCUCCUAUCACGUUUUCUUGGACCUUAUUCGGACGACCAUAUUGUCAUCCACUUUAUCAAGAAACCCAUUUUCGUAUGACAAGCUCUCUAUUUAGUAAUCGAACUCGAAUCAACAUCUCUUUUCUAAGAUGCAAAUGUAAUGCAAUCAUGAUGUCAUGUAAUCAAAACAAAAUAAACCUAAGUCAGUAUCCCACCAAAAAGAUAUAAUCCAAUACAAACAUGAAAUAGCCAGAACAUUUAUUCAAGAAUCCUCUAAGGUUUGGUAUAGCUCUACCUAGGGCAAGUUCUUAAAGCUCACUAUAUGAGGUUUAGUUUCUAGAGUAAGGGUACCCGAACCAGCAGAUUCCUCGAUCCUCACCCAUUAUAGGCUCAUAUGGACCGAGUUCAGUUCAGGGGAAUACAUUUCCCUAUGGCUGCACGGAGAUGAAAAUCUCACGAGAACAUAGGUACGGAUGUAUCCCGGAAGCGGUCCACUACCCUGCACGGAGGUGAAAACCUCACGAAGGACUAGUUUCUCGCUCCCACUUAAAGGGUAAAACUGACCAUGUAAAAUGCCAAUGCAAAGUUGCCAAAAUACCAUGAUAAAACAUCAAUGAGUGCGAAGGGUACUCAUGAAAUUUUUUAAAAACUUUUGAUUUUUGACACAAAGACAAAUAUAAUCAGUUUAUGGCUCGACUCUCUAAAGUCCCCAGCAGAGUCGCCAAGCUGUCGAAACCGUUUUUUUUUAAAACAAAAAUUUUAGUUUCGACUUAAAAAUAAAAACUGGAGUCGCCACCGAUCCUUGAUUGGGGUGUGAUCGGCUCACCUUAAAAACAAUUUUGGUCUGCGAAAUUUGAGAAAACAGGUUCGGGAGUCAGUUACGCACGAGGAAGUAUUAGCACCCUCGUAACGCCCAAAAUUGGUACCAAAUUGAUUUUUUUUAAUGCCUUUGUGUCGAAAAUUUGAAAAAAAAUUUAAAAGGAAACUUUUUAUUUCAUGAAAAAAUGAUAAGACAUUCUUAUUUCAAAGAAAUAAAACACCACACCCAGUGAGUUAGGGCACAAUGUCUUUAAAUCUUCAAAAUACUCGAAUAUUGCCUCUUGCUUUUGAAAAUUCUUAUUUCGAGAAGAAAAUGUCAUGACCAGUAAGUUAGGACCCAACAUUUUGAAUUCCCGAGAAUAAGCUUUUAUUUAAAAUUUGCGAAUUUAUUGCAAAACAAAUACUUGGCUUUCUAAAUUCAUCGAAAAAUAAUCGCAAUCCAGUAAGUUAGGACACAAUCUUUCCCGAGAAUCAUGAAUGCCAAAUAUUUUGGAAAUUUGUAAAAAUAUGAUUUUAAUACUUUGAUAAAACCCAAAAUAUAUUUCCCGAAAGGUAUGUUAAAAGUUAAUGUAUAAUAUGAAACACAACUUUAAUUUCAAACAUAUAUGAAUAAAUAUUUACAAAUAUAUAUACAAGUAGGUAUAAUAUACAACUAAAUUUACAAGCAUGUGUACGCAUACAUUCAACAUGUAAAUAUAAGUGUACAUAUAAAAAGACGGAAUGAAAUAUAUCAAUCAAAAUUUAAUAAAAAUGCAUGUAUGUAUUUGAAAAUCGUGAAAAUAACAUAAAAAUAUAAAAAUAUGUACAUAUGUAUAUAUCUACAAAAAAAUGUAUAAGUAUAUAUGUAUUGGUAAAUCAUGAAAAUAUGUGUGUAUUUAAAAGAUUAUAUAUGUACAAUAUGUAUAAAAUAAUAGAAUAGAUAGAACAAAAUGUUUAUAAUAAUUUAAGAAUAUAUAUAGAAUAUAUGUACCACAGAAAAUGAAUAUAUAUUUUAAAUUACAAAAUAUGAGAAAUAUAUGUGUAUUUUGAAAGGUGUAUAUGUAUAUAUAAGGUAUAAAGUAUAAAGUAUAUAAAAGUUUAAAAUAAUAAUAAAAAAGCUAGAAAAACAUGUGAAUAAAACAUAUGCACGAAUUUAUAAAAACUUAAACUGGAUAUAUAUAUAUGUAUUAAAAAUAUGCAUAUUAUAUAUGGAAAAUAUGUGUAUGUGCUAUAUGAAAAAGGCAUGUGUAUAAAUAUGGCAGUAAUAAUAAUAAUAAUGCUAAUAAAUGAAAUAACAGUAGUAAUAGACGGUGGCUAAAUCAAAAUUAAACAAUAAUUUUAGGGUCAAAAUCUAAAAAGGGACUAAAUCAAAUUGAACACGAAAGGGGAAGGACCAAAGAAACAAAUAUCCCCGCUGCAAUAGAAAACGCGGGUUUAGUCGGGUUCUGGGUCGGGUCACACGGGUUAUUGGGUUACAUUAAAACGGGGCCGUUUUUCAAACCAGAUAAAAUCCCCUUUUUCAAACCCUAAAUGAACACCCUAUUCAAUUUGCAACCACAAUAGCUGCAAGGUCCAAGCCCCCUCCUGCUCCUCACGCCGAAGUCAGCAAGAAUGCCGACGGCGCGCCUCUGCCGGUAAGAAACUUCUCCUUUUCCCUCGUUCUUUCAUUUAUUUGUUUUUAAAAACAAGGAAGAAAAUAAAAAGGGUACAAAACAGUAAAGAGAAAGGAAAAACGGAACCAAUCUCAAUACCUUCAAAACUUUUUUUUAUUCUCUGUUUUUGCUUUCUUCAAUCUUUUGAUACAAAGAAUUUUUUCUCUCUUUUCGUCUGUAUCAUUUUUUACACUGAAAAAAUCCCCCACUUUACAGAUUAAAAUCGGCCUUAUAUAGCUGAUUAAUACCAAAAAUCCAAAAAGAAAAAAUAAAAAACCCACUUAUUUUCCGUUAUUUGCUGCGCUUGUGUGCCUCUAUUUUUGCAGGUUUGGUGGUGAAGAGGGCGCAUAUACGUGGAGGCACAAAUCGCGCGGAAGGGACCCUGGCUCCGAGUCGAGCGGUGACGGGGGUUGCUGGGAGCAGAAACGCGCAAAAAGAGGGUGACAGUUGCGGCGGCUACUAGGGUUUUUGACUUUUGAUUUGGGUAAAAAUUUGUUAAAUUUUGGGCUUGUUGGGCUGUUGGUGUUUUGGGCUUGUAAUUAGGGUUAAUAUUUGGGCUAUUGGAUUGGGACUUUGGUUUGUACGGGCCCGGGUAAAUUGGGCUUAUUACAUUCAAUCUUAUGAUACUUUCAAGUAGGUCUCCCUAAUUUGGUAAGAAUUCUGUUUUUCUUUUCAAGCUUCAUUGAUUAAUCUCUAGAAAAUUAGGAUUGUAGUUUUUUUUUUUGUGAUCGAUUAGUAUUUUUAUGCAAUAUUUAGUUUUUUAUUUAUUAAAUGAUUUUGAGAUAUUAAUUUUGUACGAGAUUCCUAACAUAGUGAUUGACUAAUAAUUUAUAAAGGUUGAUUAAUACAAAUCCUUGAAGAAA